GGACGAACGCUGGCGGCGUGCUUAACACAUGCAAGUCGAGCGGAAAGGCCCUUCGGGGUACUCGAGCGGCGAACGGGUGAGUAACACGUGAGCAACCUGCCCCAGGCUCUGGGAUAACCCUCGGAAACGGGGGCUAAUACCGGAUAGGACCUUUCACCGCAUGGUGGGGGGUGGAAAGUUUUUUCGGCCUGGGAUGGGCUCGCGGCCUAUCAGCUAGUUGGUGGGGUAACGGCCUACCAAGGCGAUGACGGGUAGCCGGCCUGAGAAGGCGACCGGCCACACUGGGACUGAGAUACGGCCCAGACUCCUACGGGAGGCAGCAGUGGGGAAUAUUGCACAAUGGGCGAAAGCCUGAUGCAGCGACGCCGCGUGAGGGACGAAGGCCUUCGGGUCGUAAACCUCUUUCGGCAGGGACGAAGCGCAAGUGACGGUAGGAGCAGAAGAAGCGCCGGCCAACUACGUGCCAGCAGCCGCGGUAAGACGUAGGGCGCGAGCGUUGU
rnacentral:rRNA from 1 species